AGAGUACAGCAAGGCACCUCUCCAUGCAGAAAUUGCAUAGCAAUCACUCUCAACAUUAGAGAUUUGAACUCCGAUGCGUGUCCAAUUUCAACCUAACAAAUCUUUAAAUAAGUUGGGAUUUUGACUUGAUGGGGUCACACCCAUCUGCCUAACAAGUGCAUCCUUUUCCAAUGAAUCUUUAAGAUUUGGACCUUUACUAAAUUGCGAGGGGUGUGCAGCUGUAGUUAUAUUGUGAGCAGAGUC
rnacentral:misc_RNA from 1 species